CCGACGCUGGCGGCGUGCUUAACACAUGCAAGUCGAACGAAACUCCUUAUUUGAUCUUCUUCGGAAUUGAAGAUUUGUAGAUUGAGUGGCGGACGGGUGAGUAACGCGUGGGUAACCUGCCCUGUACAGGGGGAUAACAGUCAGAAAUGACUGCUAAUACCGCAUAAGACCACAGCACCGCAUGGUGCAGGGGUAAAAACUCCGGUGGUACAGGAUGGACCCGCGUCUGAUUAGCUGGUUGGUGAGGUAACGGCUCACCAAGGCGACGAUCAGUAGCCGGCUUGAGAGAGGAACGGCCACAUUGGACUGAGACACGCCC
rnacentral:rRNA from 1 species